GAAUUCCAAGACAAUUGCUUGGAAACUUGUCCCGAUUCUUGUCUAUCUCUCCCCUGUGUUCAGCUAAACUUCACCUCCCAAAAAAACUGGGACGUCCUCAAAAUUGUUGUUCAGCAAUUUUCUCGAGCUUUUGAUAUUUCGUGGUUCCACUUUGGCAAGGUCAAGCCUUCGCUCAAUUGUCCCAUAUCCCAAGGGAUUCUUAAAACAUACGAGAGCGUGGCAUCUCAAACACAAAACAUGAUGGCAAUGGUCAAUGACGAUACCUCAUCGAACUUUUUAGUCCAGAUCUCUCACCCUAACGCA